CUAUGAAUUUCGGCCCUUUGACUGUGGUGCAGACUGCUCAUUUUAUAGUGUUGAUUUUAGGUUAGGGUUUGUUUGAAAGAUGCAGAAAAAUUUGUAGCUUGGGGAGGAAAGAAAGGGAACGCGGACUGAUGACGGACUGAUUGGAUUUUAUCGGACAUUAACAAAUGAACAAAAGUGAUAAAUAAGAAAAUAAAAAUAAAAAUAAAAUAAAUGCAGACUUGACUUUUGGACUUAUCUAAAAUGGAAUUGAAAAUUUA
rnacentral:lncRNA from 1 species